rnacentral:rRNA from 1 species
AAUAGGGCAUUUUGUCACUGGUGGUAGACGCGAAACUGCACGAACUACCCAUGAGCAGGUUGAACCGCGGGUAAAACCGCGUGGAGGACCGAACCCACUUGGGUUGAAAACCGAGGGGAUGACUUGUGGGGAGGAGUGAAAGUCUAAUCAAGCGCAGAGAUAGCUCGUUCUCUCCGAAAUAGCUUUAGGGCUAGCCUCGAGGU